rnacentral:rRNA from 1 species
GUGAGCGCUGGCGGUAAGGCCUUAACGCAUGCAAGUCGAACGGCAGCACAGGAGAGCUGCUACUCUGGGCGGCGAGCGGCGGAACGGGUGAGGAAUACAUCGGACAUGUCCAUUGUCGUGGGGGAUAGCCCGUCGGGAAAGCUACGAUUAAUACCGCAUACGACCUCGAGGGUGAAAGUGGGGGACCGCAAGGCCUCACGCGAAUUAGAUUGAGCCGAUGUCCGGAUUAGCUAGUUGGUGGGGUAAAAGCUCCACCAAGGCGAUGAUCGGUAGCUGGUCUGAGAGGAUGAUCAGCCACACUGGGAACUGAGACACGGUCCCAGACUCCUACGGGAGGCAGCAGUGGGGAAUAUUGGACAAUGGGCGCAAGCCCUGAUCCAGCCACUACCGCGUGGGUGAAGAAGGCCUUCGGGUUGUAAAGCUCUUUUGUCCGGGAACGAAACGUUAGCCGGUUAAUACCUGGCUGACGGACUGACGGUACCCGAAGAAUAAGCACCGGCUAACUAUCGUGCCAGCAGCCGCGGUAAUACGUAGGGUGCAAGCGUUAAUCGGAAUUACUGGGCGUAAAGCGUGCGUAGCAGUGCGGUUUGUAAGUCUAGAUGUGAAAGCCCCUGGGCUUAACCUGGGAAUGGCAGUUGGGAUACUGGUCAGGCUUAGAGUGCGGCAGAGGAGACUGGAAUUCCUGGUGUAGCAGUGAAAUGCGUAGAUAUCAGGAGGAAAUACCGAUGGCGAAGGCAGGUCAUCCUGGGCUAACACUGACACUGCAGGCACGAAAGCGUGGGGAGCAAACAGGAUUAGAUACCCUGGUAGUCCACGCCCUAAACGAUGUCGAACUGGAUUGUUGGGGUUCGACACUGCUCAGUAACGAAGCUAACGCGUGAAGUCGACCGCCUGGGGAGUACGGUCGCAAGAGUUAAACUCAAAGGAAUUGACGGGGGCCCGCACAAGCGGUGGAGUAUGUGGAUUAAUUCGAUGCAACGCGAAGAACCUUACCUGACCCUUGACAUGUCGCGAGACUUCCGAAGAGAUUCGGCUGUGCCCUAGGGAAUCGGAACACAGGUGCUGCAUGGCUGUCGUCAGCUCGUGUCGUGAGAUGUUGGGUUAAGUCCCGCAACGAGCGCAACCCUUGUCAUUAGUUGCCUAGCACGUUAAUGGUGGGCACUCUAAGGAGACUGCCGGUGACAAACCGGAGGAAGGUGGGGAUGACGUCAAGUCCUCAUGGCCCUUAUGGGCCAGGGCUUACACACGUAAUACAAUGGCGCGUACAGAGGGUUGCGAAGGGGUGACCUGGAGCCAAUCCCUUAAAGCGCGUCGUAGUCCGGAUUGCAGUCUGCAACUCGACUGCAUGAAGUCGGAAUCGCUAGUAAUCGCGGAUCAGCAUGUCGCGGUGAAUACGUUCCCGGGUCUUGUACACACCGCCCGUCACACCAUGGGAGUGGGUUUCACCAGAAGCCGGUCGCUUAACCUGAAAGGGAUGGCGCCGACCACGGUGAGAUUCAUGACUGGGGUG